UACGGGGGGGGCAAGCGUUGUCCGGAAUUACUGGGCGUAAAGAGCUCGUAGGUGGUUUGUCGCGUUGUUCGUGAAAUGCCACAGCUUAACUGUGGGCGUGCGGGCGAUACGGGCAGACUGGAGUACUGCAGGGGAGACUGGAAUUCCUGGUGUAGCGGUGGAAUGCGCAGAUAUCAGGAGGAACACCGGUGGCGAAGGCGGGUCUCUGGGCAGUAACUGACGC
rnacentral:rRNA from 1 species